rnacentral:rRNA from 1 species
UGGGGAAUAUUGGACAAUGGGCGCAAGCCUGAUCCAGCCAUGCCGCGUGGGUGAUGAAGGCCCUAGGGUUGUAAAGCCCUUUCGGCGGGGAAGAUAAUGACGGUACCCGCAGAAGAAGCCCCGGCUAACUUCGUGCCAGCAGCCGCGGUAAUACGAAGGGGGCUAGCGUUGCUCGGAAUCACUGGGCGUAAAGCGCACGUAGGCGGGCAUCUAAGUCGGUGGUGAAAUCCUGGAGCUCAACUCCAGAACUGCCUCCGAUACUGGAUGUCUUGGAGUCCGGGAGAGGUGAGUGGAACUGCGAGUGUAGAGGUGAAAUUCGUAGAUAUUCGCAAGAACACCAGUGGCGAAGGCGGCUCACUGGCCCGGUACUGACGCUGAGGUGCGAAAGCGUGGGGAGCAAACAG